rnacentral:rRNA from 1 species
GCUGGGGGCGCAAACCGGAUUAAUACCCGGGUAGUCCCAGCAGUAACGAUGCCAGCUAUGUGUUGCUGGAACCAUGGGUUCAGCAGUGCCGAAGGGAAGCCGUGAAGCUGGCCACCUGGGAAGUACGGUCGCAAGGCUGAAACUUAAAGGAAUUGGCGGGGGAGUACCACAACCGGUGGAGCCUGCGGUUUAAUUGGAUACAACGCCGGGAAUCUUACCGGAGGGGACAGCAGUAUGAAGGCCAGGCUAAAGACCUUGCCAGAUCAGCUGAGAGGAGGUGCAUGGCCGUCGCCAGUUCGUACCGUGAGGCAUCCUGUUUAGUCAGGCAACGAUCGAGACCCGCAGUCUUAUUUGCCAGCAUGCCCUUUGGGGUGUAUGGGUACAAUAAGACGACCGCCAGCGCUAAGCUGGAGGAAGGAGCGGGCUACGGUAGGUCAGCAUGCCCCGAAUCCUCCGGGAUACACGCGGGCUACAAUGGUCAGGACAAAAGGUACCGACCUCGAAAGAGUGAGGUAAUCCACAAACCUGAUCUCAGUCCGGAUCGAAGGCUGCAACUCGCCUUCGUGAAGAUGGAAUCGGUAGUAAUCGUGACUCAAAAUGUCACGGUGAAUAUGUCCCUGCUCCUUGCACACAC